rnacentral:lncRNA from 8 species
AUGUUUCUAUGCAACACAAGUGCAAUCAAAGACUGGAGCUAUUUCCUCUCUCAGAUCCUGCCACUGAUCAACAAGACGUCUGGCUUGGUCAAUCAGGGCAUCAUCGACGAAGCGGAGGUGGCGACCACCACCAUGGUGACUGCUCUAGAGCCGGACCUGAGCGGGAUAAGCGCCAGUCACCCCCCGCUGAACUCGAAUCACACCUCCGGGAUGGAACAUGUCUUUCAGUACUCGGAGAGUGACCUUCUGUAUACGGACAACAGGACACCAGCCCGGGACUCCAUCCCGCUCCCCAAGGCCGUGCUCUACCUUGUUUGCGCGGCGCUAGUGGUGGUCGCGGUGGUAUAUGCAAUAGUGGGACACCUGGUCAAGGAUCUGGUUACUGAGUUUGUAGACUGCAGGUUGUUUGGUGGCUGCAGAGUGACCAACAGGAGUAAGAGUGACAUAAACUGUAUCACCAACAGCGUGAACGAGAUGAGUGAGAUGAGCGAAAGGCCACGGUUGGUAGAGAUGAACUACAUUACCUGUAACCACAGUAACUGCCUGGGGGCGACUGCCCAACCAGAAGAGCUGAUAGUGACCAUAGACGAGACGUUACAGCUGCCCCGGGAUACACACACUGGGACCUAAACCUUGGACACAACAGUCAUCUGAUAUCGGAUAAGAGGGAAAGGAAACAGACAGUUUGCUUGGGUUUCCUUCAUAAAUGGAGCAACCUAGUCUAUCACAAACCGAUAUCCACUGUCCAUUACAGUACAGCAGUGGCAUCGUCUGAUGUUUGUCAUGAGGUUGUUAAAAUGAGGACAAAAAGUAUUGAAAAGUCUUAAAACAAAGGAGAUGGACAAUUUUACAGCACUGGAUGCAAAAGUUUGACAUUGAACUGGAUUCAUCAUCACGGUGAGGAUGAUCUGAAACAGUUAGUUUUUCUCAGAGGAAUAACUAACAAUUGGAGUGGACUGAUUCUUUUUCUGAAUUUCACCAUCCUGUCACUCAUCAUUGUGGCUUGUUCUUGGUAAGCCUUUACCUGUACACAUUGCACUCUCUAAAUGUGAUCCAAAUAUUUGACUGUGACUAAUCUCUCGUUCACACACACACACACGCGCACACACACACACACACACACACACACACACACACACACAUACACACACACACACACACACACACACACACACACACACACACACACACACACACACACACACACACACACACACACACACACACACACACACACACACACACAGUCUUAAAUGUACAGUGUAGUGGUUGAAGUGCAGUGACGAUCAAUUCAAUUUAGCUCCUAUCCAUGAGCAAGAUGUGAUCUCUACAAAAUCAUAACGUUCCAGGUACAAUAUGAGGGUGAGACAAUAUUUGUUUUUUUCUCUUGACGUUGUAACACAUAACUGGUGAAACCAAGGUCAUUUCAUUCUAUGGAAACUACGAUUUAUAUUACACAAAAAAACACAUGAUGAAGAUGUGCAUGUGCAUGCGUAUUUCACACAUUUUUAUUUUUAUUUCACGUGUUACAUAUUUCAGAUGAAUAACUUCUAUGUGUACCGUGUCUUUCCAAAUGCUCCCCGUGACUUCAAUCUUCAAUCUCAGCAAGAGCUUACAGUUCUGAUAUAUUUUAUAAUAUUAUGUAUAGCAAUGGAGACGUCCCAAAUGCACCCAAUGAUAUUUGAAGCCUUUCAUUCUGUAUUACCUCACUACUAAGGGCUAAGAGCUGCUACUGUUGUGUGUGUGUGUGUGGUUUGUACCAUGCUGCCAAGGUGACCUCAAAGCUAAGGGGGUUCUCUCUCCUAUUCUACUGCUUUACUGUAUGCUCCCUCUAAUGGUUAAAUGCAUUGGGGGAAAUCAUGGUGUACUUAACAGUAACUUCUGCAAUGCACAGUGAUGCUGCAUAAUGUCACAUAUAGAAAUGCCAUGCAUAGAUUGCAUUUCAUGAGUAAUAGAGCAUAAUACAGUAGUCCUUUCUAUUCAUUCUAUUUCUACAUGUACCAUUGUUGCAAGAAAAUUCUCUGCACAUCAAGCACAAGGUCUAGUUUCACCAGGCUUUUGAUCAAGUCUUUCCUCACCACUUAGUCCCCUCUCCUUGCAGUCUGUGAUUUCCAGUGUGUCCAAAAAGCUGAGCAAGAAUAAAGAUCAAAAGAAGUAGUCC